rnacentral:lncRNA from 1 species
GUCAGCCCGUAUUUAAUCCUUACUCUUGGAUGACAGUGUAAGUUAUUCAUUUUUUAAGGUCCCGGUUUUGUUAUGUAGAGGUGGCAAGGGAAUGUUGCCACAUUUGUUCUUUCACAAACAUUAAACAAGCUUCAACCAUAUAGUUCCAUCAAAAAUGUAAAGUAUAAUAUAAAUUACAGUUAAAAAAAAGAAGAAUCUGUUUACACUAUUUUUUUAAUAUUGGAUAAAUACUAUUUUUGUUGGUGUAAUAGUAGUUCACGAUAUCAAUUGAUUAUUAUUUAUUUUCCUAUCAGUUGAUAUGAUUUUAUGGAAAUUCAAAAUGUCUGAGUGAAGAGAAAACUGAGAUAUUGUAAGAGGCAGUAAAAAAAGUACAGUUGCAAAAAGUGCUGCAAACUAUUAGUUUAUUCUUGUUUAUUAUUAAAUAUCCUUACAAUUCACAUCAAGCAUGUGUUUAGAGAAACCAAGAUUUUCAUGAGUUUUUGAAAGUUAAUUUAACCGAUCUAUAAUAUCAAUCUUAUUAUAUCUUAAUCUAUUAUAAUAUAUUCAAAGUUAUUUUUCAUCAAAAAAAUUAUAUUUCCUACAUUUUUUAAUUAAAAUUUCAAAUUUUGUAUUUUUAACUGUAGCAACCGUUAGUAGUUACAAGAAAAAUUUGAAAAAUAUUUUUUAAACGUAAUUGCUGGAAAAAUAUUUAAUGAAUAACAUUUAAGUUCAUUCUUUAAUACCAUGUUGAUAUGUUCUGCUAAAAUUUGGAGAGUCGAAGUCAAACAAAAUCGUAGUAGUUGAGACUGAAAUAAAAAGAUGUAUACUGAUUGUCUAUGUCUCUUCUACUUAUUUCUUUUGAUAUAGGAUCCUUCAAUCUAAUAUUAGACUUACAUUUUUUUCUUUACAUAUACCAUCCACAAUUAAGGUUAUAUUUCUCGGGCAUUUAAAAAAAACAACUAAUUUUCUACUGAGAUCUGUUAGCAGAUUAAAAUUUAAAAAUUGUUUCAAUAAACAACGAGGUGUUAAUAGUUUAUUACUCAAUAACUUAGUUAUAUAAAAAUUUACACAACUUUUCUCCAAAAUGAUAGGAAAAAAUUAGACAAAAACAAUUGGUAGUUACCCAAUUAUUGCCAACUGUGAAAUAAAUUAUUUUCCACAAUUUAAUAGUAGGUAAUAAUUCACAAUUAAAUAA